AACGGCCGUACCAUGCUGAAUAUACCGGUUCUCGUUAGAUCAUCGAAGUUAAGCAUCAUUGGGCGCGGUCAGUACUUGGGUGGGUGACCACCUGGGAACACCGCGUGCCGUU